CUGCCCUCUGAUCAGCAACCACUUCAAAGUUUAAGGAAGAAGGUUGACUUGCGCUACAGCAUGAUAGCAAUAGGCAGACACAUGGGGAGAACAAAAAGCAAUAGGUGAGAAAAUACAAAGGAGAAAGAACUUGAGGAGCCAGGAGGAAAGGAAGAAAUCACCGAGGAGCGAAAGGAACUUGAAAGGCCAGGCAUACGAAGACAGCAUCCAUCACUGUCAUGAAGGGCCUUGGCCUCUCCGUGGCACGGACUGAGGGUUGUUAAGAUCAAAUGAGUUAAGAAAACAGGAAGCUCUGAGACCACUGCCUGGAAUACAGAACUGGAACAAGCCUCAGAACUGGACACCAUGGAGAUGAGAGGACCCGAAAGAAAUGAGGGAGAGCAACACAAAAGUCUGGCCGAUGUUGCCAUGACACAUCAGAGGAUGCUCAUUUUUCUAACUUUUGACAGAAUCCAGAAGGAAAUGCCCAGGCAUCCUGGGGAGGAGAGAGCUGGAAGAACCCUGUUCCUGGGUGACCAAGCAGCCACCUAGAGACAUCCCACCUAAAAACAAUCUCCGCAGGACAUGAGAAGAAGAGUUAUUUCCCCACCUGUCAGCAGGCAGCAGGCAGAAAGGGUCUUCUCCAUUUUCCAAAACUUUUUUGGGUAAAGAGUAGUGUGUAAUUAGCACACAAAAAAAAUAUUAUUUUUCAAACCUCA